rnacentral:pre_miRNA from 1 species
AUGUAGUGCGAUCUGUCUUUAAGUAGGGGUAAGUUACUCUUUAAAAGAAUUGAAUCCUAGAUAGUUUUCUGUUCAAGUCAGGUGUCUUGU